GAUGAACGCUGGCGGCGUGCUUAACACAUGCCAGUCGAACGGAAAGGCCCAAGCUUGCUUGGGUACUCGAGCGGCGAACGGGUGAGUAACACGUGGGUGAUCUGCCCCGCACUUCGGGAUAAGCCUGGGAAACUGGGUCUAAUACCGGAUAGGACAGUGGUUUGGAUGCCAUUGUGGAAAGUUUUUUCGGUGUGGGAUGAGCUCGCGGCCUAUCAGCUUGUUGGUGGGGUAAUGGCCUACCAAGGCGUCGACGGGUAGCCGGCCUGAGAGGGUGUACGGCCACAUUGGGACUGAGAUACGGCCCAGACUCCUACGGGAGGCAGCAGUGGGGAAUAUUGCACAAUGGGCGCAAGCCUGAUGCAGCGACGCCGCGUGGGGGAUGACGGCCUUCGGGUUGUAAACUCCUUUCGCUAGGGACGAAGCGUUAUGUGACGGUACCUAGAGAAGAAGCACCGGCUAACUACGUG
rnacentral:rRNA from 1 species